CCCUUAGAUGUUCUGGGCCGCACGCGCGCUACACUGAUGAACGCAACGAGACGACCUGUACCGAAAGGCAUGGGUAAACUUGUGAAAGUUCAUCGUGAUGGGGAUAGAUUAUUGCAAUUAUUAAUCUUCAACGAGGAAUUCCUAGUAAGCGCGAGUCAUCAGCUCGCGUUGAUUACGUCCCUGCCCUUUGUACACACCGCCCGUCGCUCCUACCGAUUGAAUGGUCCGGUGAAAUCUUCGGAUUGCUGGAUAGGAGGGCAACCGCCUAUCUGCGAGAAGUUGCUUGAACCUUAUCAUUUAGAGGAAGGAGAAGUCGUAACA
rnacentral:rRNA from 1 species